UCCAUUACGUCGUCGCGACGUCCGGCAG
rnacentral:sRNA from 1 species